rnacentral:lncRNA from 1 species
CGCGGUGCUUGGACAAAAGCAUCUUCCCGGGGUUUUCGGGGUUGCUCUGCGCAAGCCCAGCCCCUAACGGGAGCAGCGGAAUGGAGCGCAGCUCCGUUUUCAUCCCGCACAGCCUUCACCUCCGCGCGGCUCCUGCGCGAACUGGGGGAAAGGCUAAAAGUAGUCACUCCGCCGCGUGCCAAGAAACUCAGCCUCGGCGCGCCGGGGGGGCAGCCACAUCUGGCAGCGGGGGACGGAGGCCGUGGGAAGGGGAGCGGCGGCGGCAUCCGGCCGUGCCCCGAGCCGCGGAGGCGCCCGGGGAGCCCAGGAAAGGCGGUUUCGGGGCGCCGAAACCUCGGCAGGGCCCGGGCAGCCCCGGCAACGACGUUUCCAGCCUCUGCUCGUACCCUUCCUCGCUUCUGCCUCAUGUCCCCUCCCGACCUUCCUGCCCAUCCCAGGAGACCAGAAUUAACACAGGCGGCUAACGAGCUCCCCGAGCGCGGGCUCCAACCCCCCCCCCCCCCCCCCGGGGAAAAGCCUGUUUUGCCGCUUUGUCCACGUGUGUUUUCUAAGCAGCACGUUAGGGCUCGAACGAGAUGCCCGAGAUACCCCGAGUGCCGGUGCAGAGCGCGGACUCACCGGGGCUGUGCUGUCGUUCCAGGCGACUACUUAUACGCGACCGUAGAAUAUUACUCCGAGAACACUACGUUAAUACCGACCAUGUACUCCUACGAGGAGGAAUACCAGGAGUCGGUGGGAUCUCCCCUGCAAGGCCACCUCCCUCUCGCCAUCCUCCUCACCCUCCUGGGCUUCGUGCUAUAACUCCCCGUUUUCCUCCUUAGACGYGGCGACCGGGAUGGGAAAACACCCCACUGCCACCCCGCGUCCUCCGAACGGAGCCGUCCCCUCCGGAUCCAGCACAAUCGCGACUUUAUACACAAAGUUUUCAAUAGCUUGACGGUGCUGCCCAGAGCCGAGCGCCUCGUGCACACGCCGCAGAGCUUUGUCCUGCCUAGGGCCCUUCCUAUUUCCGCUUAUUCUCUUGUAAAUAGGAACCGCUGCCAAUAAAAUUGCUAACAACUGACUACCGGUCUCA